CCUACGGGAGGCAGCAGUAGGGAAUCUUCCACAAUGGGCGAAAGCCUGAUGGAGCAACGCCGCGUGGGUGAAGAAGGUCUUCGGAUCGUAAAACCCUGUUGUUAGAGAAGAAAGUGCGUGAGAGUAACUGUUCACGUUUCGACGGUAUCUAACCAGAAAGCCACGGCUAACUACGUGCCAGCAGCCGCGGUAAUACGUAGGUGGCAAGCGUUAUCCGGAUUUAUGGGGCGUAAAGGGAACGCAGGCGGUCUGUUAAGUCUGAUGUGAAAGCCUUCGGCUUAACCGGAGUAGUGCAUUGGAAACUGGGAGACUUGAGUGCAGAAGAGGAGAGUGGAACUCCAUGUGUAGCGGUGAAAUGCGUAGAUAUAUGGAAGAACACCAGUGGCGAAAGCGGCUCUCUGGUCUGUAACUGACGCUGAGGUUCGAAAGCGUGGGUAGCAAACAGGAUUAGAUACCCCAGUAGUC
rnacentral:rRNA from 1 species